UACCUUUUUUUUAAAGGAAAUUUUAUCUGUGUGGUACUAAGGAGGUGAUUUUUUGAUUUUCUAAGCAAUUAUCAUAAUAUUUGGAAAAAACCUAAGAAAAAUGGGAAAUUCACGUAUAUGUACAAAAAAAACUUUGCAUCAAAUCGUUUUUCGUCGGCAAUUAUUUAUCGUUGCGCACAGAUAUAAAUACAAUUUACACCUAUAUCCUAUCUUCCCAAUUUCUCACCUACAACAAUAGCCCACCCACCGUGUGAAGUAUGUCCGUCUUUUAUUUAUUUUUUUUCUCAAUUACCAAGCAUUUCUGAUGGGUCAAAACAAUUUUAUCCAACAUAGACAUAUGUUUAUGCUGUGGCGAAAACGUAGGCAUUUGGAGUCUUGUGGUGCCCCUUCAUGAGCCCUCCUCUUAAUCCGGACCGAGUUCGUAUAUUAAACAAAAAAAGAAGCUGGACACACUUCGUACCCCUUUGCGGGUGUAGGUCGCACGCAGUUAGGUGGUAAUUUAGUUUAUGGAUUAUUCGUUGGUUUGCUAUUUUUUAUGAUAUUAUUGAGAUGAGGUUUUUAUUGAGGUGUACACUGUAUUAUUAUAUUAUUUUUCUAGGAAAGUAUAUUUUUAUACGAAUACCGUCGGAGCGUGCUCCGAAAUAAUACAGUACAGUAUUAUUUCCAAACCGAUCGAUGCGCAGGUUAUAGAUGCGUAGAAAUUAUAAAACAGAUAUUAUUAUAUCCGUGCGAAAAACGAAACUUUUUUUUUUUUUACAUUCGAGUAUACGUGCCCGAAAAAAUAAGCUAAUAAAACCUAUAACAUAAUUUAAACCUUAUACGAGAAACGCGUUUUUAUUCCUCCUCGAAAUAAUACACCUGUACCUAUAUGUAGACAUGUGUGUUAUUUUCACAUGAGAAAAAAAAAUAUAUUUUUCGUCGUUCUAUGGCUUUAUAUAUUAUAUUAUACUCGCAAUAAUAUUGUUUAGGUAGGUAUAGGUAGCUCUUAUGUAAUAUAUUCGACAAAUUUUUGAAUGGCGAAAAUAAAAAACCACAUCGCGCGGUCACUGGUGUACCUACUACUAUAGUGCAAUGUAUACGUCACGCACGUCAUAAUAUUCGGAACGUGUUUAUUAAACAAAUAACAAUAGAAAAUAUUUUUGUAAACGUUUUUUAAAAAUAACAAAUACAGUAAAACUACCUAUUUUUUAAUACCGUAUACAAUGAUAUUUUACUGUACAGAAAGUUAGACGAAUAAACGAACGAAAAAAACUGAGAAUUUGCGCACGUCAUCAAAAUAGCUACAAAUCACAUCAAUGCUAACGAAAUACGAUUCUGAAAAAAGUUCGACUGUAUAUUAUGUUUUUAAAUGCCAAAUGCAUCGUUUUAUAAACGAAUUCUUAGUCAAUCAAAAUUCUGAAUUUUUUUUUAUUCAAUUUCAUUGCAUGUUUUAUACUAAUAUAUUGUAUUUUCGAUCUUUAAAUAAUUACAAUAUACUUCUUAUCGUCUACACUUAUGUACACUCAGUUACAAUGAAUUCUAAUUUUUAUGUCGAUAACUAACAAGUGACGACAAGUAAAACGUACCAGCAAUAUUAAAUAUUUUUAAUAAAACAUUUUGAAAAGUAUAGACUAUAGUUACAGUUUGAUCACAUAGCAAAAUAAUUAAAACUAAUAAAUGAUUAGUUUAUUGUUAUUAUUUUUUAUACGAGACAUAUAUUAUAAUUAUAUCAAGACCUAUCAAUACAAUUUACAUCUCUGAGUAGAACUUUGUAGAGCAUAAAACAAAUUUCCACUGGCCCUAUACAUUAUGGUGAGACAUUG
rnacentral:lncRNA from 1 species